AACAAAGGAAAGUGUCUCAUCC
rnacentral:siRNA from 1 species